AGAGUUUGAUCAUGGCUCAGGAUGAACGCUAGCGGCGCGCUUAACACAUGCAAGUCGUGCGAUCGGACCGGACCUGAUUCCUUCGGGAUGACGGACCGGUUACGGAGCGGCGGACGGGUGAGUAACGCGUAGCUAACCUCCCGUCGGGCGGAGGAUAACACCGGGAAACUGGUGCUAACACUCCAUGAUAUCGGGGAACUUCAGGUUCCCUGAUCAAAGGACCAUUUGGUUUACCCGACGAUGGGGCUGCGUCCUAUUAGCUAGAUGGUGAGGUAAAGGCUCACCAUGGCGAAGAUAGGUAGGGGGCCUGAGAGGGCGAUCCCCCUCACUGGGACUGAGACACGGCCCAGACUCCUACGGGAGGCUGCAGUGGGGAAUCUUGCGCAAUGGUCGCAAGGCUGACGCAGCGACGCCGCGUGGAGGACGAAGGCCUUCGGGUUGUAAACUCCUUUUCUGGGGGACGAAUAAGGUCAGUAGGUAAUGGCUGACCGAUGACGGUACCCCAGGAACAAGCGCCGGCUAACUUCGUGCCAGCAGCCGCGGUAAGACGAAGGGCGCAAGCGUUAUCCGGAAUUACUGGGCGUAAAGGGCGUCUAGGCGGCCAAUCAAGUCAACGUUGAAAGCCCUUGGCUAAACUGAGGGAUGUACGUCGAAACUGAUUGGCUCGAGGAACGUAGAGGAAGGCGGAACUCUCGGAGUAGCGGUGAAAUGCGUAGAGACCGAGAGGUACCCCGAUGGUGAAGACAGCCUUCUGGGCGUUUCCUGACGCUGAAGCGCUAAGGCCAGGGGAGCGAAGGGGAUUAGAUACCCCCGUAGUCCUGGCUUCAAACGAUGUGGGCUUGGUGUCGGCUCCCGACAGAGAGUCGUUGCCGGAGUUAACGCGUUAAGCCCACCGCCUGGGGAUUACGUCCGCAAGGAUGAAACUCAAGGGAAUUGACGGGGGCCCACACAACCGGUGGAGCACGUGGUUUAAUUCGAUGAUAAGCGAAGAACCUUACCAGGGCUUGACCUAGCGGUAGUAGGACCCUGAAAGGGGAACGACCUCAAGCUUUGCUUGAGGAGCCGUGGCAGGUAUUGCAUGGCUGUCGUCAGCUCGUGUCGUGGGACGUUGGGUUAAGUCCCGUAACGAGCGCAACCCCUGCCCUUAAUUGCCA
rnacentral:rRNA from 1 species